GCCCGACUAGCUCAUCGGUAGAGCGCCUCACUAGUAUAUCUUCUCUCUAAUAUACAGGAAAGAUAUUCCAUUAGGAAUGAGGAGGCAACAGGUUCGAUUCCUGUGUUGGGCA